AGCUUAGCUAGGCAUCACAAACCAUAAUCUUUGGCAGUUGAAUUUGAGGUUUGGAUGGGACCAAAUCUUACUGCAGACUUGCAGAUUAACGCAAGAUUUGGUUUCCUCCAAUAUCUCAUGUUCAGUUGUCAGACAGUGAAUAAUGGUGCAAUUAGUGAGCU
rnacentral:pre_miRNA from 1 species